UCACUCUGGUUUCUCUUCAAUCCACGUUUGAAUCUUUCGCCUUUUACUAAAAAUUUCCGUGGAGUAGGUUCCCUUUCCUUAAAGGGAUUCCUAGUCAAGAUGUUUGAAACUGAUCUUGAUGAGAU
rnacentral:snRNA from 1 species